rnacentral:rRNA from 1 species
AACGAACGCUGGCGGCAUGCCUAACACAUGCAAGUCGAACGAAGCCUUCGGGCUUAGUGGCGCACGGGUGCGUAACGCGUGGGAAUCUGCCCUUGGGUUCGGAAUAACAGUUAGAAAUGACUGCUAAUACCGAAUGAUGUCUUCGGACCAAAGAUUUAUCGCCCAAGGAUGAGCCCGCGUCGGAUUAGCUAGUUGGUGAGGUAAAGGCUCACCAAGGCGACGAUCCGUAGCUGGUCUGAGAGGAUGAUCAGCCACACUGGGACUGAGACACGGCCCAGACUCCUACGGGAGGCAGCAGUGGGGAAUAUUGGACAAUGGGCGAAAGCCUGAUCCAGCAAUGCCGCGUGAGUGAUGAAGGCCUUAGGGGUUGUAAAGCUCUUUUACCCGGGAUGAUAAUGACAGUACCGGGAGAAUAAGCCCCGGCUAACUCCGUGCCAGCAGCCGCGGUAAU